rnacentral:rRNA from 1 species
GACGAACGCUGGCGGCGUGCUUAACACAUGCAAGUCGAACGGAGAAAGAAGAGCUUGCUCUUCUGGAUGAGUGGCGAACGGGUGAGUAACACGUGAGUAACCUGCCCCAGACUCUGGAAUAAGCGCUGGAAACGGCGGCUAAUACCGGAUACGAGACAGAGCUGCAUGGCUACUGUCUGGAAAGUUUUUCGGUCUGGGAUGGACUCGCGGCCUAUCAGCUUGUUGGUGAGGUAACGGCUAACCAAGGCAAGGACGGGUAGCCGGCCUGAGAGGGCGACCGGCAACACGGGAACUGGGACAGGGCCCGGACGCCAACGGGGGGAAGAGGUGGGAAAAUUGGAAAAUUGGGCGAAGGCUGGAGGAGGAGCCCCCGGGGGGGGAAGGCCGGCCUUGGGGUGGUAAACCUUUUUCCGCGGGAAGAAGGCGAAAUGAAGGGAACCGGUAGAGGAGGAACGGCUAAAUUAGGU